CGUUUUUCUGUUUUUGCUGUUUGGGGUUGUACGGAGGAUAUCCAACCAAAAGUUAUUUUCACAAGAUGCAAAUGUUAACACCUCAAUUUUGUAGCGGUACUUUUUUAACAAUUGACCAUUAGCUCCGAUGAUGACAUUUAUGUCGAAAGCGCUCAGCUAAAGAAAUAAAUUAUUUACACACUUUGAUAUACUACAUUUUUUAUUUCCUCUAUUCAUUCAAGUGUGUACAAACUUAUCAGUCUUUCAACGAUUUUUUUAUUGGCUUAUUCGAUUAGACUUGUCUACGGAUUUCUUCCUAGUUUUGUCGGAAGCGGAAGUAAAACCUUCGGAAGUAAGACACAAUACUUCUUAGUUUAUUCGGAACCGCAAGUAAGACACAAUAGAUGCCUCAAUGUUGGUGA